GCCGGAUGUGGUGGCGCAUGCCUGUAAUCCCAGUGGCUCAGGAGGGUAAGGCAGGAGAAUCUCAAGUUCAGAGCCAGCCUCAGCAACUUAGUGAGACCCUGCCUCUA
rnacentral:sRNA from 1 species